rnacentral:tRNA from 1 species
GUUUCCGUAGUGUAGCGGUUAUCACGUCUGCUUCACACUCAGAAGGUCCCCGGUUCGAUCCCGGGCGGGAACA